GUAGUGGUUAUUCAGGGAUUUCCACCGGGACAUAAAAUGUAUCGAGUCAUAUAUUUGUUUUGUUUUGUCCGCGCGUGGUUUGUCCGCGCGAGUUUCUUUACGCUACAAUCAUCUGGUGAACGUCGACUGCAAGCUAGUCCUAGUCCAUUUAGCAGUCAUUCUGUCCUCGUGUAACAGAGGAUGGUCUGAAUUCUUACCUUUUGCCAGCAGCAAAGCGGUCAAUUUUGUAAAACCAGAGGGAGAGUAGACAAGAGGAACACGGAUGAAUGUCAGUCUGAUCCAUGGAGUAGAGACGUGUACCCGCUGAUCCUUAUUCCUUCGUAACGUCGCCAUCUUUGUGUGACGGGUUUGCACACAACCUAUUGUAUACUGUCUGGCUUUGUUUUAAUGAUAGUUUGGGUGAGCGAGUCGUCCUUUAGCGCUGAUCUUUGCAAUUAAACAAGAAGGGUUCUUUUAGAAUGAAAAGAUUUGAUAUAGCUAGAGUGAACUCAAACAGUUGUACACCGGUGACCGGAAAUGGUGUACAUACAAACAUUGAAGUGUUGUGUUAUAGAUGUUUUUUACCUAUCCCAUUCUCUCCUUGACAGUCCUCAAGGAAGCUUGUAGGUUUACCCCGGUUAUAUUGGUACCGUCUCCUCGUUUUUUUAUAAUUUUUAUAUUUGAUACUGGUGCGCAUGCUGGGACAUGGUUGGUGUAUACAAGAAAAACGCAACCAGUUAAUCAACAGAUCACAAAGUGAGCGCGUCAUCAAUUUUAAACUUCGCGGAGAACCGUCAAUGUUUAUGCGAUUGCUCUAGAUUUUUUGCCAAAGACGAUGGAGAGUGCUCACAUUUAAAAAUGUUAUUUGUAUUAACACGCAAUAAUGUAGUAGCACAUACAAAGUAAACAACAUAUUUUGCACUUA